CUAAAGGCUCUUUUAAGAGCCACCACAUUACACAAAAGAGCUGUG
rfam:Tauraco erythrolophus contig29657, whole genome shotgun sequence.